CACGCGGUAAACGAUGAGUGCUAGGUGUAGGGGGUAUCGACCCCUCCUGUGCCGCAGCAAACGCAAUAAGCACUCCGCCUGGGGAGUACGGCCGCAAGGUUGAAACUCAAAGGAAUUGACGGGGGCCCGCACAAGCAGCGGAGCAUGUGGUUUAAUUCGACGCAACGCGAAGAACCUUACCAGGUCUUGACAUCGAUCUAAACCGGUAGAAAUAUCGGGUCCCUUCGGGGGAGAGAAGACAGGUGG
rnacentral:rRNA from 1 species